rnacentral:rRNA from 1 species
GAUGAACGCUGGCGGCGUGCCUAAUACAUGCAAGUCGAGCGAAUGGAUUAAGAGCUUGCUCUUAUGAAGUUAGCGGCGGACGGGUGAGUAACACGUGGGUAACCUGCCCAUAAGACUGGGAUAACUCCGGGAAACCGGGGCUAAUACCGGAUAACAUUUUGAACCGCAUGGUUCGAAAUUGAAAGGCGGCUUCGGCUGUCACUUAUGGAUGGACACGCGUCGCAUUAGCUAGUUGGGGAGGUAACGGCUCACCAAGGCAACGAUGCGUAGCCGAACUGAGAGGGUGAUCGGCCACACUGGGACUGACACAUGGCCCAGACUCCUACGGGAGGCAGCAGUAGGUAAUCUUCCGCAAUGGUCGAAAGUCUGACGGAGCAACGCCGCGUGAGUGGUGAAGACGUUCGGGUCGUAAAACUCUGUUGUUAGGGAAGAACAAGUGCUAGUUGAAUAAGCUGGCACCUUGACGGUACCUAACCAGAAAGCCACGGCUAACUACGUGCCAGCCGCCGCAGUAA